GAUCAUUGUCGAAACCUGCCAAGCAGAAUGACCCGCGAACUAGUAUGUGGCAACGUCGGGGGUGCUUUGUGGCGGGCUUUGCUGCCCCCCCACUCUCUGUCCCUUGCCAGGUGCGCUUCUGAACUGCGUUCCUCGGUCGAAAACGAACCCCGACGCGAAUCGCGUCAAGGAACUUCGACAAGAGAAGCAAGCGCCCCCCCGUUYUCGUUCGGGAGUGACGGUACUUGGGGGGGCUAGCUGCAUCUUUUCAUGAACGAAAACGACUCUCGGCAACGGAUAUCUCGGCUCUCGCAUCGAUGAAGAACGUAGCGAAAUGCGAUACUUGGUGUGAAUUGCAGAAUCCCGUGAACCAUCGAGUCUUUGAACGCAAGUUGCGCCCGAAGCCAUUAGGCCAAGGGCACGCCUGCCUGGGCGUCUCGCAUCACGUCGCUCCCGCCUUGUGCCCGUAAAGGGUCCUUGGGUUUGAUGGGGGCGGAUUUUGGCCCCCCGUGUGCCCUAGUGCGCGGUCGGCCUAAAAAAGAGCCCCCUGGUGACGAACGUCCCGAUGAGUGGUGGAUGUGAUAACGUUGCGGCAUGUGUCGUGGGCGUCUUGUCCCAGUGGGUCGCUCUUGUUUCUGACCCUGAGAAAGCACCGUUUAUGCGUCGCCUCGGCCGCGACCCCAGGUCAGG
rnacentral:sRNA from 1 species